GUGCGCGCGGCGCAGGACCGUGAGUGCGCAGGAGCGGGGCGGACGCACUCUCCCACUCCCCUAGCGGCGUGUCGCGGAUCGUGCUCCAGCUGUGGACACUAGGGCGGUAGCUGUUCGAGACCGGAGGGUAGGAAGGAAGUGUCUCCGCACCCAUUAUGCAGAUGAGGCAUCUGAAGCUGGGAGCACAAACACACAGCAGGGAGCUGAGCAAUUCUCAUAUAGGCAGAGAGAGGAUUUGAUAUCAUCGCAUUUCACAGCUGAGGAAAUGAAGGCACAGAGAAGGUGAGCACAUGAGCCAGGACAUGCAGCUGGGAGGACGCAGAGCCAGCAUGGCAGGGCCCUGAGCAUCCCUGGCUGCAGUGCUCCUCUUUGAGGAGCCCCAGCAACCACACCUUCCUCACCUGUCUACUGCCUGUGAUGGGUCUCCCGAACACCUGGUGGCAGAAUUGGGUUGCAGAGGUCAAGAUCAAAGGCUUUGAGAUGUCCACAAACUCUUUGACGCUCCUUGCUCUGGGAAGUAGAGCUUAAUUCCCUUCCACUUCGACUGGACUUAGAGACUUGCUUCUAGAGUAUGGAAAGAGGAAAAACAGUGACUUUACCGCAGAGUGACCUGGCCGACAUUACCUUAACCAAACAAUGAAGGUUUGCGUCACCAGUAACAAGGCGUGUUGAUGUCAUGUGUUCCUCACUGUGUUGCAAGGAGAAGGCCACCUCACCUGUGUGACAGUCUUCCCCCACAUCCAUAACCCCAGUCUAAUCAUUAGAAACAUAGAACAUAGAACAAAGCCUCAGAGACAUUCUACAAAAUACCUAACCACUGCUCUUCAAAAGCCUGGGUAAGGAGAAGACAAGGAAAGACUGAGAAACAGUCACAGAAUGAAGGAGCCCAAGGAGAUGUGACAACUACAUGCAAUACAGUAUCCUAGAUGGCAUCCUAGGACAGGAGAAAGACAUUAGUGGAAAAACUGGUGAAAUCCAAACAACUGCCGUUAAUGGUGUUGUGCCAAUGUCAUUUCUUAGUUUUUGUGAGUUUUAAUGUGCCACAGUCAUGAAAUACAUCACAUGAAAGAAAGCCAAGUAAACUCUCUGUAGCAUUUUUACAACUCUUCUGUAAAUCUAAAAUAAUGUUCAACUAAUAGUAUAAAAAUAACAAGGAGAAAAAAUAAUAAGAAUGAUAAAAUCACAAAACCUACAAAUGUCUCAAUUAAAUCAAUGAAAGUGACUUAUCAAGGUGAUCACUUCAUCAAUUAUAUCAAUGUCUACUCAAGAUGUUGUACACGUGAAACUAACACUAUAUCAUAUGUCAACUGUAAUUGAAAAAUAAAAAAAAAAUUAAACGAA